CUCACGCUCUUGCUCGCUCUCUCGCCGUUUCUCUCUCCGUCUCUCCCCGAAGAAUGGGGGGCUCUGUAUGGGAGCUCCGAAACAUGGAGUGGAUCCGAGGGCUAGGGAGAGAGAGGAAUCUUUUUCACUUCUGGCGCAGGAUGAGCUGUGUGGGAGGAGAUGAAAGCAAGAAAAUUACCAUGGACAAAUCAAUCACCUGAGAGAAACACAAUCAACCAAUCUUCUGAGAAAGCAGAGUUGGGAUUAUCUUGAUGGACGAUCGACCCAUCCGUAUCGGUCUCGAUUCGAUUUAAACUCAAUAAAUCAAUAAAAAGAACAGCAGAGGCCCUCGAUCGGCCCCUCUCGUGUCUUCCCGAGGACUCACACUUAACGUCGAAGUCCACAAGAGCAAGGAGGAGGUGGGGUGAGGGGCGUGUUCCCCCCCCCCCCCCAGACGGCGCAGAGCCAAGCCGAACCAAUCGUUCUCUCUCUCUCUCCUCGUCAUUGGUAUGCAGAGGCUGUUUCCCCCGGCGACAGGGCCACUGGGUUUGGGCUGACGGCGCGAGCGUCGACGCCGCAGACGGGAGCAGGACAGCAGGUAAGGGUAAUGAGAACAGGCAGGGAGGGAGGAGCGAGAGAGGGGGGGGGGGGAGACAAGAGAAAAGAGGAGGGCAGGCCAGACAUCCCAAGAGGGCUUUUGGGGGCAGAGGUCCACUGUGACCCCCAUCACACCCCUGCACUGUCCAGGACCUGCAGGGCCUCCCGCAUGCAUUAUUUAGGCUUUCAGAAAGAAAGAAAAAAAAAACACCCUAGACACCUCGUGAAAUAAAUAAACAUUGGUCAGGAAAAAUAGGCAUCUAUGCAGUAGAUGCCUAUUUGCCAAACCAGUAUUUGCCAAACCAGUUCUUUUUAUAUUCUUAUUUAUUCAAAUGUUGACCAUAGUGCCGGUAAAUGUAAGGUAACAUUUUCACAUGACAAUUAUCAUAUUGAAAUCAAUAUGCUUAUUCUAUAUACAUAUGUCUGUUUCAAAAAAUGUAUGCUAAUGUCAUAAAUUGUUGCUGUAAUGUCAUGUCUCAUCAAUAAAAGUAUUACAUUUUGCAAUUCACAUUUUGUCAAAAUAUUUUGUCGUUUUUAUGAAGCCAUUGUACUGCAGCUUCUAUGAA